GCUCAUUUCACAAUGGUCCCGCCCAUACAGUGCUGAGGAGGGCAGUGCAGUCACUCCACUCUGGAUGAGCAGCAGCGGCAGCAGCAGGCUUCUCCUAAACUUCACAGGAAUAUCUGCAGCAUGUCUCCAUCGUGAGGGACAGAGUGAGGGGACACAGCACCGAGGAGUCACUUCUGUUCCAUCAAUGAUUCCUCCUGAGGGUCGACGGACGCUGCAGCUCCAGACCUGAGUUAAGAGAGGUUCAGAGAGCAGAUCUCAGCUGCCGGCCUCAGGCUCUGUUUAUUACACUGCUUACAAAGAGCUGUGUUGAGAGAAGCCCGGAGUGGAGCCCAGAUCCUGUUGUUGGACUGAUUAAAUCCCCCACAGUCGCCUGCCCUCCUCCGGUCGACCAGAGCAAACUGUCCUGAGCGAGACAGCAUCCUCGCCUGCCUCGUCUGCCUCCGUCCUUUGCCUCCUCAUGUUCCUUCAGGUGGAGCGGAGGGCAGAGCACGCAGCCUGUAAGCCAGGGUCACACGCGUGACGGGGAUGGCGUUCUGGAAGAGGCUGAUUCUUGGCGUGUUGACCGUCUGCCUGCUGGGUAUCUACAUCCUGUGUGUGAAACUGGAGGGGCCCCUGUCCUGGUCCAUAGAGCCUCUGAGACAUUUCCAUGGCUUCAUCCAGGGGCC